CUGUUCGUUCUGGACCUGAUCGACUUACAAAGAUCCGCUCCCAGUUUAAGAAUUUUCUUUCCGAGGCAACUGGAUUUUAUCAUGAUUUGAUGUUGAAGAUAAGAGCUAAAUACGGUCUACCGUUAGGAUAUUUUUCUGAUGAUCCAGAUAACCAGAUUCCCAUGUCAAAAGAUGGAAAUAAAUCCUCUGAGGUGAAAAAAGGCCUGAUAUCCUGUCAUCGUUGUUUGAUUUAUUUGGGAGAUCUUGCUCGUUACAAAGGCUUGUACGGGGAAGGGGAUUCUAAAGCGCGGGAUUUUGCUGCAGCAUCAAGUUACUAUAUGCAAGCUUCCUCACUUUGUCCGUCAAAUGGCAAUCCACAUCAUCAGCUUGCUAUACUGGCUGGAUAUUCAAAUGAUGAACUGGUCUCCAUUUAUCGCUAUUUUCGGAGUCUAGCGGUUGAUAACCCUUUCGUUACUGCGAGAGACAACUUGAUAAUUGCAUUUGAGAAGAAUCGUCAGAAUUAUACCCAACUAGUUGGUGAUGGUAAAGCUACUACAGUUAAGACUGCAUCUUCAAGGAUGUCUGGAAAAGGAAGAGGCAAAGGUGGAACAAGGUCUUCUUUGAAGGACAUUAAAACGGAAGCUACUGCAGUUAAGGAAAAAGUUCCAAAUAACCUUGAGCUCUUCAAAGCCUUUAUUACGCGAUUUGUUAGGCUGAACGGCAUCCUGUUCACACGCACAAGCUUGGAAACUUUUGUUGAAGUGUUCUCAAUGGUCAAAAGUGAUCUACUAGAACUUCUCUCUUCUGGGCCAGAUGAGGACUUAAACUUUGGUUCAGAUGCUGCUGAGUGUAGACUUGCAAUUGUCAGGAUGAUUGCCAUUCUAAUAUUUACAGUCCAUAAUGUGAAUAAGGAAAAUGAAAACCAAUCAUAUGCCGACAUUCUACAGCGUUCAGUCCUACUUCAGAAUGCUUUUACUGCUACCUUUGAGUUUAUGGGCUGCAUGCUUGAAAGGUGUAACCAGUUAAAUGAUCCCUCAUCGAGCUAUUUAUUGCCUGGGAUUAUGGUUUUUGUAGAGUGGUUGGCCUGUUGUCCUGAUGUUGCAGUUGGCAGUGAACUGGAAGAGAAACAAGUGAAUGCGAGGUCUUUUUUCUGGAACAAAUAUAUCGCCUUCCUAAAUAAGUUGUUGUCAAAGAGAUAUAUUUUUGUGAAUGAGCAUGAAGAGGAGACAUGCUUCUCUAAUAUGAGCAAGUACGAUGAGAGUGAGACUGCUAAUCGCCUUGCAUUGUUUGAGGACUUCGAGUUGAGAGGUUUUCUUCCCCUUCUUCCUGCCCAGCUCAUCCUUGAUUUUUCAAGGAAGCGUUCAUUUGGUGGUGAUGGAGGCAGCAAAGAAAAAAUUGCCCGUGUACAGAGGAUUAUUGCGGCAGGAAAGGCUCUUGCCAACAUUGUCCGGAUAGGCCAGGAGGGUGUAUACUUUGACACAAAGUUGAAGAAAUUUGUUAUUGGACCUCAGAUUUCUGAUGAUUACUUGCUCACCAGUCCGUUGGAGCUGAAUUUAAAUGCUAACAUAGAAAAUAUUUCAGCAGGCGUUGAGAUGGCUUUGGGUCAUGAACCAAAUUCAGAGAUAGGUGUGGAAGCUGAGGAGGAGGACGAGGUGAUCGUUUUUAGGCCUUCCAUAAAUGAGAAGCAUAUGGAUGAAUUCUCUUCAAACUUAAAUUCCAAAGUGCUUCUUCCUUCUGUCAGUGGAGCUGGCAAUACUGAUAUUGGGAAAGAAAAUGGGUCCUUCUCUGUUGGACAUGAUACUUUCCUCUUUGAGAAUGCAUUAAAUGCUAGCAUGAGACCGUCAGCAACUGUUGCUAAUGCUACUUCUCAGUUUCUGCUGCCAGUCCAACCCAGCAUGUCAAAUUGGCCAGUGGAACAGAGUCCAAUUGUGAAUGGCUUGGCUGACUUGAAUUUGAUGGAAAAUGGUUCUGCUCUGAAAUCAGAGCUGAAAGACCCCUUCAAAGUUUCUCAGCCUACUGCUCUUUCCGUGCCAUACCCACAAUUUGUCAAUACCAGUGUUGGCCAUAAUUAUUCCAUUCAAAAUCCUCAAGCUGUCGUGCAACCAAGGUUUGAGUCUGUUAUGUCCUCUGGAGCAGCUGUUGAUGCCUUGCCCGUGAAACCGUCAUCAAUGAUAUUACCAGGCUUAAAGAAGAACCCAGUGAGUCGACCUGUCAGACACUUUGGUCCACCACCUGGUUUUAGUUCAGUUCCUUCCAAAGUAAUGGAUGAACCAUUGAAGGUGGACUUGAAAAAUGAUAAUGCUUCAGUUCCACUGAUGGAUGAUUACAGCUGGCUAGAUGGAUAUCCACUGUCAUCAUUAAAUCAGAGUGUUGGUUUUGGUGAUUCCUAUAAUCAAGUGGGCCCUGCAUUCCAUUCUUUGAACAAGAACAAUGGCUCAAUGGGGUUAGCAAGCUUCCCUUUCCCUGGGAAGCAAGUUGCAUCACUGCAAGUUCAGAGUGAAAACCAGAAAGGCUGGCAGGACUAUCAAUUAUCUGAUGGGGAGCAUCAGCAGCAAUUUCAGAAAGUGAAUCAACAACCUGGUGGGCCUCCAAUGCAGUAUCAAGGACAGUCUCUCUGGGAGGGUCGUUUCUUUGUGUGAGAUGAUUGAGGGGCAUAUAUCCAUAAAGAAUGGCCAAUAUAAUCAAGUUCUUUUGGAGCAUGGUCAGGUAGUGUUGCGGGCACAUGCUAUUCAACAGCUUGUGUCGAGCUUUCCAGAUUGGUUCAGUGGAGCUUAUGACGUCAAUAGGUGAAGUUCUUGGAUAUUUUGCAAGCUUGAUUGCCUUGUCUGGUGGAUCAUUUGGGGUAAGCCUUCAGGGAUAGCGGAUUGUGGUGGACAAUGGGGAGCAUCUGGUUGGAAUCAAAAGAAGUGCUAGCAAUUCCGGUGGCUGGUGGAGGCCGUUUAAUCUGAAAUAUUUGUCGGCCUCUGCUAUAAUGGCAUGAUGGAAGUUUCAAAAGCCAAUACCCAGUGGUGUAUUUCACCCAGUUGUCAAGUCUGCCUAAGUUCUGAAAUGGAAUUUUCUUCCAUACAGGGAAUGUGCCAUGGAUGUUAGAUUUAAAUAAGUAGGCAGUUCUAAACGCAUUAAGGUAUUUCAACUUUUGUGAUUUACGUUUCUGUUCGUGAAAGCAGCACAUCAAAUUGGGAGUGAAUUGUGUCUGUUGUCAAAUGCAUUAUGAUGUUAUUAUUUGUUAUUCGGAUUUGAAUGGUGAUCCAGCAAAGUUGUUUUUUUCAGUUAA